AUACAAUAGAAGUCUCUUGCACUGGUUACAAUGGAUGUUGGAUAGGGUCCUAAAGGAAAAUGGAGACAUUUAUCCAAUGAAGCACUUAAACAUGAGAAUAGUCUCACUUAAAUCUCAUUGAAAACCUCUUAGUUUUGAUUUCAGCAGGAUAAUUUGCAGGAUGAGCAAUGACUCUAUGAUCAGGGAUAACAGAACAAGGCCUCGGGUGCCAUACACCUGGAGCAGACCUUUGUGCCAAGGACUGCAGAGUCUGCUCCUCAUCUUUGAACAGCUGCAGUGGCUGAAGCAGAGCUGAGGAGGAGCUGCCAAGCCAGGGUAUGGGGUGGAAGAAACACAAAAUGAAGAAACUACAUAUUAAUUGCUGAGAAGAGUCCAAGAGCAGAACAGGUACUGAGAAGGUGCUCUAAGGUUUCUCUUGAGCCUUCUUUCCUGCAGUCUCAACAACCACAACACUCUGUCUCCACAGGAAAGACCCUUCAGCUCUCUGAUCAUCUUCAGGGACAAAGUUCAAAUGACAGC